GCUGAUCAGUGGCUGGAAAAUGGAAACACGAGUAAUUAAUUACUAGUUCUGCUCUCUAGUCAAGUGGAGGCAACUAGUCCCUCAGGUGUGAUAUGGAAGAGAAGAAAACGAGCCCUGGUGGUGGCUGCCCGUGGCUGUGCAGGGAGUGACUGAGGCAGAGCCUGGAGCCCCCCUGCCCUUCACUCCCCUGCUCCUGAACCUGUCAGAAACUUGUCCCUGGCCUGUGGUUGUUCCAUCUCUUUGCUCAGAGUUUUAGGGUUUGGGAUUGUUUAAAAAGCACCUUUGCUGUACCUCAGGGAACCCCCCGUGAUGGGGAAGGAGCCCUGCAGGAGCCCACGAGC